UACGUAGGGGGCUAGCGUUGUCCGGAAUCAUUGGGCGUAAAGCGCGUGUAGGCGGUCCGGUAAGUCCGCUGUGAAAGUCCAGGGCUCAACCCUGGAAUGCCGGUGGAUACUGCCGGGCUAGAGUCCGGAAGAGGCGAGUGGAAUUCCUGGUGUAGCGGUGAAAUGCGCAGAUAUCAGGAGGAACACCAAUGGCGAAGGCAGCUCGCUGGGA
rnacentral:rRNA from 1 species